rnacentral:siRNA from 1 species
CACAUAUGAUAAGAUGCCGUUGG